UACGAAGGGAGCUAGCGUUGUUCGGAAUCACUGGGCGUAAAGCGCACGUAGGCGGAUGUGUCAGUCAGGGGUGAAAUCCCGGAGCUCAACUUCGGAACUGCCUCUGAUACAGCACGUCUUGAGUCCGAGAGAGGUGGGUGGAAUUCCUAGUGUAGAGGUGAAAUUCGUAGAUAUUGGGAAGAACACCAGUGGCGAAGGCGGCCCACUGGCUCGGUACUGACGCUGAGGUGCGAAAGCGUGGGGAGCAAACAGG
rnacentral:rRNA from 1 species